GUUGUUGGGUAGGGGAGCGUUCUGUAAGCCGUUGAAGGUGUGCUGUGAGGCAUGCUGGAGGUAUCAGAAGUGCGAAUGCUGACAUAAGUAACGAUAAAGCGGGUGAAAAGCCCGCUCGCCGGAAGACCAAGGGUUCCUGUCCAACGUUAAUCGGGGCAGGGUGAGUCGACCCCUAAGGCGAGGCCGAAAGGCGUAGUCGAUGGGAAACAGGUUAAUAUUCCUGUACUUGGUGUUACUGCGAAGGGGGGACGGAGAAGGCUAUGUCAGCCGGGCGACGGUUGUCCCGGUUUAAGCAUGUAGGCGGAGGUUCCAGGUAAAUCCGGUACCUUAUUAACGCUGAGGUGUGAUGACGAGGCACUACGGUGCUGAAGUGAUAAAUGCCCUGCUUCCAGGAAAAGCCUCUAAGCAUCAGGUAACACGAAAUCGUACCCCAAACCGACACAGGUGGUCAGGUAGAGAAUACCAAGGCGCUUGAGAGAACUCGGGUGAAGGAACUAGGCAAAAUGGUGCCGUAACUUCGGGAGAAGGCACGCUGAUGUGUAGGUGAAGUCCCUGCGGACGGAGCUGAAAUCAGUCGAAGAUACCAGCUGGCUGCAACUGUUUAUUAAAAACACAGCACUGUGCAAACACGAAAGUGGACGUAUACGGUGUGACGCCUGCCCGGUGCCGGAAGGUUAAUUGAUGGGGUUAGCUGUAAGGCGAAGCUCUUGAUCGAAGCCCCGGUAAACGGCGGCCGUAACUAUAACGGUCCUAAGGUAGCGAAAUUCCUUGUCGGGUAAGUUCCGACCUGCACGAAUGGCGUAAUGAUGGCCAGGCUGUCUCCACCCGAGACUCAGUGAAAUUGAACUCGCUGUGAAGAUGCAGUGUACCCGCGGCAAGACGGAAAGACCCCGUGAACCUUUACUAUAGCUUGACACUGAACACUGGUCCUUGAUGUGUAGGAUAGGUGGGAGGCUUUGAAGCGUGGACGCCAGUCUGCGUGGAGCCGCCCUUGAAAUACCACCCUUUAAUGGCUGGUGUUCUAACGUAGACCCGUGAUCCGGGUUGCGGACAGUGUCUGGUGGGUAGUUUGACUGGGGCGGUCUCCUCCCAAAGAGUAACGGAGGAGCACGAAGGUUGGCUAAUCCUGGUCGGACAUCAGGAGGUUAGUGCAAUGGCAUAAGCCAGCUUGACUGCGAGCGUGACGGCGCGAGCAGGUGCGAAAGCAGGUCAUAGUGAUCCGGUGGUUCUGAAUGGAAGGGCCAUCGCUCAACGGAUAAAAGGUACUCCGGGGAUAACAGGCUGAUACCGCCCAAGAGUUCAUAUCGACGGCGGUGUUUGGCACCUCGAUGUCGGCUCAUCACAUCCUGGGGCUGAAGUAGGUCCCAAGGGUAUGGCUGUUCGCCAUUUAAAGUGGUACGCGAGCUGGGUUUAGAACGUCGUGAGACAGUUCGGUCCCUAUCUGCCGUGGGCGCUGGAGAAUUGAGGGGGGCUGCUCCUAGUACGAGAGGACCGGAGUGGACGCAUCACUGGUGUUCGGGUUGUCAUGCCAAUGGCACUGCCCGGUAGCUAAAUGCGGAAGAGAUAAGUGCUGAAAGCAUCUAAGCACGAAACUUGCCCCGAGAUGAGUUCUCCCUGAGACUUUAAGUCUCCUGAAGGAACGUUGAAGACGACGACGUUGAUAGGUCGGGUGUGUAAGCGCAGCGAUGCGUUGAGCUAACCGAUACUAAUGAACCGUGAGGCUUAACCUU
rnacentral:rRNA from 2 species